rnacentral:tRNA from 1 species
GCCGGAGUAGUUCAAUGGAUAGAACGGCGGCCUUCUAAGCCGCAUGUUGGGGGUUCGAUUCCCUCCUCCGGUGCCA